rnacentral:pre_miRNA from 1 species
AAGGUGGUGGAAAAACUGGAUACCCUUUCGUAUGAUUCUCAGAGGAAACUGACAAACACACGCGGGGGUGUCCAGUAAUUUCAGCACAGA